rnacentral:rRNA from 1 species
GAUGAACGCUGGCGGCGUGCCUAAUACAUGCAAGUCGAACGCUUCACUUCGGUGAAGAGUGGCGAACGGGUGAGUAAUACAUAAGUAACCUGGCAUCUACAGGGGGAUAACUGAUGGAAACGUCAGCUAAGACCGCAUAGGUGUAGAGAUCGCAUGAACUCUAUAUGAAAAGUGCUACGGGACUGGUAGAUGAUGGACUUAUGGCGCAUUAGCUUGUUGGUAGGGUAACGGCCUACCAAGGCGACGAUGCGUAGCUGACCUGAGAGGGUGACCGGCCACACUGGGACUGAGACACGGCCCAGACUCCUACGGGAGGCAGCAGUAGGGAAUUUUCGGCAAUGGGGGAAACCCUGACCGAGCAACGCCGCGUGAAGGAAGAAGUAAUUCGUUAUGUAAACUUCUGUCAUAGAGGAAGAACGGUGGAUAUAGGGAAUGAUAUCCAAGUGACGGUACUCUAUAAGAAAGCCACGGCUAACUACGUG